rnacentral:tRNA from 1 species
UCUCCGGUAGCUUAGCGGUCGAAAGCUGCCUCCUCAUAAGAGGUAGAUCGUGAGUUCGAAUCUCACCCGGAGGACCA